rnacentral:rRNA from 1 species
GGGAACCCCGACGCAGCAACGCCGCGUGGAGGAUGACACUUUUCGGAGCGUAAACUCCUUUUGUUAGGGAAGAAUAAUGACGGUACCUAACGAAUAAGCACCGGCUAACUCCGUGCCAGCAGCCGCGGUAAUACGGAGGGUGCAAGCGUUACUCGGAAUCACUGGGCGUAAAGGACGCGUAGGCGGAUUAUCAAGUCUCUUGUGAAAUCUAACGGCUCAACCGUUAAACUGCUUGGGAAACUGAUAAUCUAGAGUAAGGGAGAGGCAGAUGGAAUUCUUGGUGUAGGGGUAAAAUCCGUAGAUAUCAAGAAGAAUACCUAUUGCGAAGGCGAUCUGCUGGAACUUAACUGACGCUAAUGCGUGAAAGCGUGGGGAGCAAACAGGAUUAUAUACCCUGGUAGUCCACGCCCUAAACGAUGUAUACCGGUUGUUGCUGUGCUAGUCACGGCAGUAAUCCACCUAACGGAUUAAGUAUACCGCCUGGGGGAGUACGGUCGCAAGAUUAAAACUCAAAAGGAAUAGACGGGGACCCGCACAAGCGGUGGAGCAUGUGGGUUUAUU